CUCCUUUUGAGCAUGACGUUAUUCGUCCUGUCGGGCGUCCUCACAAAUUACCUGCAUUCAGAGAUUCAUACCGGCACAGGUCGGUAUGCGAAGUCCCUUUUGGGGCCUUAGCUCAGCUGGGAGAGCACCUGCUUUGCAAGCAGGGGGUCGUCGGUUCGAUCCCGACAGGCUCCACCAUAUUGAGUGAAAAGACUUCGGGUCUGUAGCUCAGGUGGUUAGAGCGCACCCCUGAUAAGGGUGAGGUCGGUAGUUCGAGUCUACCCAGACCCACCACUCUGAAUGUAGUGCACACUUAAGAAUUUAUAUGGAUCAGCGUUGAGGCUGAGACAUGUUCUUUUAUAACUUGUGACGUAGCGAGCGUUUGAGAUAUCUAUCUAAACGUGUCGUUGAGGCUAAGGCGGGGACUUCGAGUCCCUAAAUAAUUGAGUCGUAUGUUCGCGUUGGUGGCUUUGUACCCCACACAACACGGCAUGUAGCUCCGAGGCAACUUGGGGUUAUAUGGUCAAGCGAAUAAGCGCACACGGUGA
rnacentral:tRNA from 1 species